CUACGGGCUGCUCCAGUGAGGAAUAUUGCACAAUGGGGGGAACCCUGAUGCAGCAACGCCGCGUGAGUGAUGAAGGUUUUCGGAUCGUAAAGCUCUGUCAGGUGGGAAGAACAGGUCUGUCCUGAAUAAGGUUGGACCUUGACGGUACCGCCAAAGGAAGCACCGGCUAACUCCGUGCCAGCAGCCGCGGUAAUACGGAGGGUGCAAGCGUUGUUCGGAAUUAUUGGGCGUAAAGCGCGUGUAGGCGGUUUGAUAAGUCAGGUGUGAAAGCCCUUGGCUCAACCGGGGAAUGUCAUCUGAAACUGUCAGACUUGAGUACGGGAGAGGAGAGCGGAAUUCCCGGUGUAGAGGUGAAAUUCGUAGAUAUCGGGAGGAACACCCGUGGCGAAGGCGGCUCUCUGGACCGAUACUGACGCUGAGACGCGAAAGCGUGGGGAGCAAACAGGAUUAGAUACCCCUGUAGUC
rnacentral:rRNA from 1 species